rnacentral:rRNA from 1 species
CCAAUAGCGUAUAUUAAAGUUGUUGUGGUUAAAAAGCUCGUAGUUGAACCUUGGGCCUGGCCGUCCGGUCCGCCUCACCGCGUGUACUGGCUCGGCCGGGCCUUUCCCUCUGUGGAACCCCAUGCCCUUCACUGGGCGUGGCGGGGAAACAGGACUUUUACUGUGAAAAAAUUAGAGUGCUCCAGGCAGGCCUAUGCUCGAAUACAUUAGCAUGGAAUAAUAGAAUAGGACGUGUGGUUCUAUUUUGUUGGUUUCUAGGACCGCCGUAAUGAUUAAUAGGGACAGUCGGGGGCAUCAGUAUUCAAUUGUCAGAGGUGAAAUUCUUGGAUUUAUUGAAGACUAACUACUGCGAAAGCAUUUGCCAAGGAUGUUUUCAUUAAGCAGGAACGAAAGUUAGGGGAUCGAAGACGAUCAGAUACCGUCGUAGUCUUAACCAUAAACUAUGCCGACUAGGGAUCGGACGGUGUUAUUUUUUGACCCGUUCGGCACCUUACG